UCCUUCGUGGCGCAAUUGGCUAGCGCGUUCGACUGUUAAUUCCACUACUGGGGUUCGGCGAUCGAGAGGUUGGUGGUUCAAGCCCACCCGAAGGAG